rnacentral:lncRNA from 1 species
GAUUCCAAACACAAAUUUUCAAGUCUAAUCAUCGCCCAUCAUACAGCAACAAGCACUUUUGAUAAGAGCAUCCAAUGGAUGGCCAUCACAGAACCUAAACAAAUGAUGAAUAGUUAGAGAGCUUUAUCAUCCACCACUUUUAUGCCCAGAGCCUCUACAGAUGCUACUGCUAGCAUUGUAGGGAUAUGUGUACUAUGCGGUGGAAGAUUGCACAUGCAUCCAGAUUUUAAUUAAAAGUGGUGAUCAAGCUUUGGCCGUUAAUAAAAAAACAUGAUCAUACAGUCUGGAGUUUACAUAUAGUUAA